UAGGGAAUCUUCCGCAAUGGGCGAAAGCUUGACGGAGCAACGCCGCGUGAGUGAUGAAGGUCUUCGGAUCGUAAAACUCUGUUAUUAGGGAAGAACAAAUGUGUAAGUAACUAUGCACGUCUUGACGGUACCUAAUCAGAAAGCCACGGCUAACUACGUGCCAGCAGCCGCGGUAAUACGUAGGUGGCAAGCGUUAUCCGGAAUUAUUGGGCGUAAAGCGCGCGUAGGCGGUUUUUUAAGUCUGAUGUGAAAGCCCACGGCUCAACCGUAGAGGGUCAUUGGAAACUGGAAAACUUGAGUGCAGAAGAGGAAAGUGGAAUUCCAUGUGUAGCGGUGAAAUGCGCAGAGAUAUGGAGGAACACCAGUGGCGAAGGCGACUUUCUGGUCUGUAACUGACGCUGAUGUGCGAAAGCGUGGGGAUCAAACAGG
rnacentral:rRNA from 1 species